GCGACCAACCAUCCUGGUUUGUCUGGGACUGAGCAGUUUCCUAGGACGAGGGCUUUCAGUGCUAAAACUGGAAAAGUC
rnacentral:miRNA from 1 species